ensembl:lncRNA
GUUCGGUUAUGGACAACGACAUUCCAAUCUCGCUCCUUUCUUCACUUCUCAAAGUAACGAGUGCACGUCCGGACGUGUGUUCGAGAUUGCAUGCAUCUUAUUCGCAGCGCGACGCAACCGCUGGGCUCUCCAUAACCCGGGUUUCUCGCCCCGCCUCCUUUGUGAUUCCCAGAGCCUGCUCCGCCCACGUCCCGCCCCCGCCCUGCCCCUCAGCCCCGCCCUAUGUUCCCUCUGCCCCUCUACCCGGUCCUGGACUGGCUCAGCUUCCUCAGCCUAGCCUCGCAGGCCUGGCGGGGUCCCGUCCUGUCCCACCUUCCCCGGCCCGCUCCCUCCACAGCUCCCCGGGUGCGGCCCGCCUCCUUCCUGGCCCUCAGUGGCUCCCCCACCUCGUCCCGCCCUCGCCCCUCUCCUUCCGCUUCCCUGAGCCGCAACCAGGGCUCCGGCCGCGCGGGGUCUCGUCUCCAUGGCGACGCCGUGUGUACAGCUCCCAGCUCAGAACACCGAGCGAACCCCGAGCUGGGCUGGCCUUCUGUAUCCGCCCCGAGGAAGGGCGGUGUGAAGGAACCACGGGCAGGUUCGGGCUCUGGGGUUCCACGGCUGCCGAGGUGGCGCUCGAAAAGGUACCAAAAUAUAGACAGAAUGGCAGAGUGCUAGUGUUUGAUCCAAAGGCAAAAGUGAUGCUUGAACCAAAUGAAGCAAUGUCAGAUAAAUGCCUCUUUGGACGCAGACCAAGAUUGGCAAGCAAACUUUGUACCUCGCCAACACAAGUCUCUCUAAAUGUAGCUAGGACGAUCUCAGAAAAGUAA